CUCUGGAAUCCAGGGUAAACACUAGUCUGACCUUGAUCAUUAUUUCAAUUCCGAACUGAUUUACGGUUGUUCUUACACCGAGCUAGUGAGUGAACUUUACUGAACUAAACUAAAUACUUAGUACUUAUAUUACAAACAUUUUCUUCACAAAACUAAAUAUUAGCUACGGUUAUUAGGAAGUUUGUAUGGUUUUGACUUCAUACUAUAUAAGUUAUUUAAACGAGUUUUAAAGGAACAUAAACUACUGGAUUUCUUAAUUUCAGUUGGUAGGCUGUUCCAAAGUUUUGCUGAUCUAAUAAAGUAAGAGUUUUGAAAGUAUUCCUGAUUAUGUUUUAUAAUGAGGUGGAAGUUAUUUUCGUCAUAGUUGCGAGAUUGAUAGCCGGGGUUGUAAGUGCAUAAAUAUUUGUUUAUAUCCAUUGUUAUGAGGUGGUGUUUGGAUUUGAACAGCAGCAUCGGAUCAGAAAUUUCUCUUCGGAAUUCCAGUGGUAGAAGAUUUGUUUUCUGCAACCGGCCCACGUACGACAUGUUGUCAGGAUAAUUCAAGACGAAUUUU